AGUCGAGCGAGCUUGCCUAGAUGAUUUUAGUGCUUGCACUAAAUGAAACUAGAUACAGGCGAGCGGCGGACGGGUGAGUAACACGUGGGUAACCUGCCCAAGAGACUGGGAUAACACCUGGAAACAGAUGCUAAUACCGGAUAACAACACUAGACGCAUGUCUAGAGUUUGAAAGAUGGUUCUGCUAUCACUCUUGGAUGGACCUGCGGUGCAUUAGCUAGUUGGUAAGGUAACGGCUUACCAAGGCAAUGAUGCAUAGCCGAGUUGAGAGACUGAUCGGCCACAUUGGGACUGAGACACGGCCCAAACUCCUACGGGAGGCAGCAGUAGGGAAUCUUCCACAAUGGACGAAAGUCUGAUGGAGCAACGCCGCGUGAGUGAAGAAGGGUUUCGGCUCGUAAAGCUCUGUUGGUAGUGAAGAAAGAUAGAGGUAGUAACUGGCCUUUAUUUGACGGUAAUUACUUAGAAAGUCACGGCUAACUACGUGCCAGCAGCCGCGGUAAUACGUAGGUGGCAAGCGUUGUCCGGAUUUAUUGGGCGUAAAGCGAGUGAAGGCGGUUCAAUAAGUCUGAUGUGAAAGCCUUCGGCUCAACCGGAGAAUUGCAUCAGAAACUGUUGAACUUGAGUGCAGAAGAGGAGAGUGGAACUCCAUGUGUAGCGGUGGAAUGCGUAGAUAUAUGGAAGAACACCAGUGGCGAAGGCGGCUCUCUGGUCUGCAACUGACGCUGAGGCUCGAAAGCAUGGGUAGCGAACAGGAUUAGAUACCCUGGUAGUCCAUGC
rnacentral:rRNA from 1 species